UACGUAGGGUGCAAGCGUUGUCCGGAAUUAUUGGGCGUAAAGAGCUUGUAGGCGGUUUGUCGCGUCUGCUGUGAAAUUUCGGGGCUCAACCCCGAACUUGCAGUGGGUACGGGCAGACUAGAGUGUGGUAGGGGAGAGUGGAAUUCCUGGUGUAGCGGUGAAAUGCGCAGAUAUCAGGAGGAACACCGAUGGCGAAGGCAGGUCUCUGGGCCAUAACUGACGCUGAGAAGCGAAAGCAUGGGGAGCGAACAGG
rnacentral:rRNA from 1 species